UGGAGUUCUCCCCAACUGAAAAGGAAAAGAAGAGGAUGUCAAUUGUUUUCUAUAGAUUUUUCAACAAGUAGAAGCCUGGUGCACACAGCUGUUGCAAUGAAAGCUCUGCAAGAGAACUAGAUAAGCAAAUUGGGAAUUAUGGUAUAGCCUUGGCCAUCGGGGCCUUCAGUAUGUGCACCCUAAUCUGCGAAAAAGAAUUUCCUACUCUGCUGAAGAGCAAGGUUGAUACCUCCUUACUUGCUAUACCAUUCACCACUUCAAUCACAAUGGCUUACAGUUAGACAUCUUCAACAGCAUUAAAAAAAGCAAGUGUAAUGGAGCUUGCAGCAGGAAGACCUCUGGAAGAUUGAAGUAUUGAGGAUAAAGUCAAUGAAAUAAAGCUUACCUUCUACCUUCAUGAAAAUAUAAUUUAAUCAUUUCCUGUUGUCUGAAAUAGCACGCUAGCAAGAAAUCAGAUAUGGAAGAUCUGAACUGGUGCUCCUUCACUUCUUGAUGCAGGAUCUCUCCGCAAGUGCUGCAUGUGAGUCUUCCCCUUAAAACUUGGAGCACUGCAUAAAUUCUGCUGGUCCAGAGGCUCAGACUGCAAAAGGUAGGACAGCUAUUUUCAUUGGAAAGUUUAAGUGUUCUCUGAAGUUUUUAUGUGCUGCCUGUUGUUGCCAUUUUUAAAAACUCUUAUAAAUCUUUUAAUUAGAGCUCUUUGAGAUCACACGUGCUGAGGGAACAGCAUGGAGUUGCACUGAGGAGGGUCAGGCUGGGUGAGAGGACAGUAUUCUGCCCAGAGGGCAAUGGGCAUGGAACACACUGCCCAGGGCGAUGGGCACAGCCCUGAGCUGCCAGGUCUCAAGAAGUGUUUGGACAAUGUUCUCAGUUAUAAGGUUUGAAUUUUGGGUGGUCCUGUGUGGAGACAGGAGUCGGACUUGAUCUUUGAAGGUCUGUUCCAACUCAGGAUGUUCUUUUCUGUGAUUAUGACUGUAAGAUAAUUCCAGGUAAUCAGUAUUCUAACACAGUAAAUAUACUGCUUGUGAUUAUCUUUGAUAAGGAUGAUAGUUAAGGUUUUUCCAUAACUGUCUUAGGACUGUAGCACCUCUUCUAUGAAGACAGGCUAAAGGAGCUGGACUUGAUCAGUCUGGAGGAGGCUGCAUGGAGACAUCAUUAUAGCUUUCCAAUAUUUAAAGGGAAUUUAUAAACAAGAGGGAAAUCAACUUUUUACAUUGGUAGAUAGAGAUAGGACAAGGGGGAAUGGUUUUAAACUAAAGGGAAGAUGCAUUAGAUUUCAAGGGGCAGUUUUUCACUGAGAGGGUGGUGAGGUGCUGGCACAGGCUGCCCAG